UACGGAGGGAGCUAGCGUUGUUCGGAAUUACUGGGCGUAAAGCGCGCGUAGGCGGCUAUUCAAGUCGGGGGUGAAAGCCCGGGGCUCAACCCCGGAACUGCCCUCGAAACUAGGUAGCUAGAAUCUUGGAGAGGUCAGUGGAAUUCCGAGUGUAGAGGUGAAAUUCGUAGAUAUUCGGAAGAACACCAGUGGCGAAGGCGACUGACUGGACAGGUAUUGACGCUGAGGUG
rnacentral:rRNA from 1 species